UUUCUGAUCAUACAAUGUAUGAUGAACGGCCGUAAUUGAUUGAUCCUCCAAAUCCCCACAAAGAGGAUCUAGAGAGGAUCAUUUUCCCUUAUUUGAGACCCAACAAUAAAAUUACACUUUGCAAUUAUCACAAAGUCACAAAUAAUGACUUAACUCUAUUUUGUUUUUCAAACGAUAGAUUUGAUUAGGGAGCUGACGGGAUUUGAACUCAUGCUGACUUAAUUGAAAUAUUAUAUUCAGAAAACUAGAUUUUAAUCCUUAAAUUAGAUGACGUUUAGAAACAUGUCUCAUACAAGAUUAAAAUUUGAUUUUAGUCCCUAGAUUUUAUUUAAUGCCAUCAUAUUAAAUGUCUCUCUUUUUUAUUUAUAAUUUUAUGGUGUUCAUAAAUUAAAUUUCAUAAAAUAUUAUAAAUUUUAAUUCUCAUUAUGCUAAGUAUCUUAUAUAAGAAAAUAUUUUCAUAAAAUAUUUAUGGUACACAUGUUUUUGCAUAUUUUCUUAUGUGUCACUAAUUCAUUACAAUAUAUUUAGGUACAAACAUUUUAGUAUACUAGGUUAGUAUAAUAUGUUUAGGUACAAACAUUUCGCUACACUAGUUUAUUAUAAUAUAUUUAGGUACCGACAUUUCGGUACACUAGUUUAGUAUCAUAUAUUUAGGUACGGAAUUUUUCGGUACACUUAUGUUUUUGUAUAUUUGCUUAUGUGCCACUAAUUCACUACAGUAUAUUUAGGUAUGGACAUUUCGGUACACUAAUUUAGUAAAAUAUUUUAUAGGGAAAUUUUAUUUGAACUCAUCUAACCUCUUUCUAUACCCAACUUACUCUCUACAACCAUAUUAUUUUUAAUUAAAGAAUUAAUAUCUCUUUUAACCCAAAUUUAUUACCUAAAGUACCCUACCAAACCCAAUUAAAAAGUGUGACAAUCCGUUCCUAGUUCUACGAUUUUAUAAAUUUCAAAAUAAUGAAUUUACGAAAAUGCCCUAAAGGUGAAGGUUGUGACUUUCAUUGACCAACGUGUAGAGGAAUGUAUGACUUAUUCACUUAGCGCAUUUGUAUAGUAUUCGUUGGUACGAACGCAUUUGCGAGUCCAAAUUAUAUCAGUAUAGUUACGGACAUUUGAAGUUGUAAAACCUAUAGAUUGUGGGAAUUAUUUAAUUUCCAAAUGUGGGUUAAAGGUUAAAUGAGUUAAAAUAAAGGGGACCAAUCAGUUUUUAGAAAGAAAAAAAAAAGAAGGUUGCCUGAUGGCAGUGAAGGAGAGGAGAGGAAGACAGCACAAGAGGGAGAUGGACAAAUUGGGAAAGGGGAGAGGAAGAAAUUGCCCAAUCAGA
rnacentral:lncRNA from 1 species